GGGCUAAUCCCCUUCAAGUCUGCAAUAGACCACCCUAAAGCUCCUCUAUGAUUCUUUAGAACACCAAGUAAUUUUCUUUCUUGCGCAUGAUCAAGAUCAGAUGAGAUGAUUAUAGGAAAAGUGUCAUCGGAUCCAAGAAAGGCAUACUUGAGUUCCUUCGGUAAAGGUUUCAACUCGAGCUUAGGUGCUUGUUCAUGGGAUGGUACUAUCUUUGCUCCACGAGAUGGCAAAUGUUCAAAUUCCUCUAUUCUCGGUCUCCACCCAUUGACCAUCAUGACAUCCGAGUUAUCUAAAAUAGGUGGGA
rnacentral:lncRNA from 1 species